GACGACGCUGGCGGCGUGCCUAAUACAUGCAAGUAGGACGAGUUGCGAACGGGUGAGUAACGCGUGGUAACCUACCUAUUAGAGGGGGAUAACUAUUGGAAACGAUAGCUAAUACCGCACACUAGUAGAUGGACCUGCGUUUGAUUAGCUAGUAGGUAGGGUAAUGGCCUACCUAGGCAACGAUCCGUAGCUGGUCUGUGAGGUGGACGAGCCACACUGGAACGGAGAGACGGUCCAGACUCCUACGGGAGUAAGCAGUGGGGAAUAUUGCACAAUGGGCGCAAGCCUGAUGCAGCCAUGCCGCGUGUAUGAAGAAGGCCUUCGGGUUGUAAAGUACUUUCAGCGAGGAGGCGUUACUCGCAGAAGAAGCACCGGCUAACUCCGUGCCAGCAGCCGCGGUAAUUC
rnacentral:rRNA from 1 species